GAUGAACGCUGGCGGCGUGCUUAACACAUGCAAGUCGAACGGAAAGGCCAGUGCUUGCUCUUGUACUCGAGUGGCGAACGGGUGAGUAACACGUAGGUGACCUGCCUUGCACUCUGGGAUAAGCUUGGGAAACUGGAUCUAAUACCGGAUAUGAACUGCCUUUAGUGUGGAAGUUGGAAAGUUUUUUCGGUGCAAGAUGAGCGCGCGGCCUAUCAGCUUGUUGGUGGGGUAAUGGCCUACCAAUGCGUCGACGCGUAGCCGGCCUGCGAGGGUGAACGGGCCCAUAGGGCCUGAGGAAGGGGCCGGACUGCAACGGGAGGCAGCGGUGGGAAACAGUGCACAAUGGGCGGAGGCCGGGUACAGCGACGCCGGGUGGGGAAUGACGGCUUUCGGGUUAUAAACUGCUUUCGACUGGGACGAAGCGUAAGUGACGGUACCUGAAUAAGAAGCACCGGCUAACUACGUG
rnacentral:rRNA from 1 species